UUAAACUGGUUUGGGAAAACCAAAUAUAUUAUAUAUUUUGCUUUGUUCAAAAUAAGGUUUUCUAAUAAAUUAUGUUUUUAUCAGAUAUGACAGAAUCUUUUUUAAAAUCUCUUCAAUAUGCUUUUAUUGCUUUUGAGAGGUUUUGUUACUUUGAGUAAAAUUAAGUGUUCAUAACAGACGGGUAGUCAUGAUUGAG
rnacentral:rRNA from 1 species